UACAGGGGGUGCAAACGUUGCUCGGAAUUAUUGGGCGUAAAGCGCGCGUAGGCGGCCGCUUAAGUCGGAUGUGAAAGCCCCUGGCUCAACUGGGGAAGUGCACCCGAAACUGAGUGGCUUGAGUACUAAAGAGGGUCGCGGAAUUCCCGGUGUAGAGGUGAAAUGCGUAGAGAUCAGGGGGAACACCCGUGGCGAAGGCGGCCGGCUGGGCCGACCCUGACGCUGAGGCGCGAAGGCGUGGGGAGCGAACGGG
rnacentral:rRNA from 1 species